CCCCCCCCAGUUCCUUUCCCUUGGGGUAACUGCUAUUAACAGUCAUUCCAGACCUUCUGUGUGCAUGUGACAGUUAGAAAUAUUCCCGGGCACAUACUCUAUCAUUUAGGAGUCAUCUUCUUUUCAAAUUUUUUCAGCCAACAUGUUUUGAACUGAUAUCACAUACACAUAGCUUAAAACUCGAAAAGGAAAAAAGGGAUGCAGUGAAAAAUAAGCCUCCUUCUCGCCUCAGUUUCCUUGCUAGUCAGGGCCCCACUGUUAUCAAUUUCUUGAGUAUCUUUCAAGAGAUAUUUCAAGCAUCUUUAGAAACAUCGCUGGAGUCUUCUCUCCUGGAAAAAGGCUACCACAGUUCUGGACCUCCAUCCACAGACCACACCGUCCAAGCUAAUGGCCAACUCCCAGUCAUCCCUCAGGCCUCCGUGGAGUCUCUUCUCCCUGCAAGGAGCUCUCCCCGGCUGCCCGGGGCUGGCUUAGCUGCCCCUCUCCAUGUGCCUCUCCAGCACCAUGCAUCAAGCUGUGAAGACUUUGUCCACCGUUUUUAAUCGCUUGACUGCCUCUCUGUGUAUCACCCAGGCUUCUAGAAGCUGCAAUGUGUCAGAACCUUGCUUCCCUUGCUAUCACUGCAUGCUUGAAACCUGGAACAGAAUGUGUUGCAUAAAUAUGUUGACUGUCACUGGAUCAAGACCUGACUAAUUGGGUGCGGCCCAGGGCUUCAGCAAUGCCCGCACCUUGAGGAAGGGCAAGGGCUCUGAGCUUCAGGGUAAGAAGCUGACAGAAGUGAGAGCAACUAGAAAGUGAAAGUAAAGCUGGGGGGGGGGGGGGGGCAGGAAAGAACCCCAGAGGGUGCAGUCUGGGGAGGAGAGGCCGGGCCAAGAGUUCAUUCAACCCGGUCUAGCAAGGGAGCUGGCGGCUGGUGCAGGACGUUAGGGUAGGCGGGGAGCUGUGGGCAGGGAGAGCGAAUGAAAAAGAGAGAAAAUGUGUUUUGUAAUUAGUCAUUGCCCCCUGGGGUGAGGCUGGGAGUUUUCACCGGAGGUGGGUAGACCAGAUUUGCAAAAUGACAAACAGGGGCUAACCACCGGCUGGGGCCACAGUGGGGCUUCCGGCCCUGGUGGUAGAAGCUGAGCUUUCUAGUUUUUUCUCUGUCCCGCCCCACUGCAUUCAAGAUUCUGCCAAAUAGUGGAAAUGGGAGGGGAAGGCCUCUGAGGAAGGCCUUCCCCAGGGGCCAAAGCUGCUUUUCCUGACUUCUCAGCUGGCUUCUGCCUCUCCCUGUGUUCUUAGCAUGGGGAAUGGGGACACGGUGGCGCUUGCCCCUUGGAAGGCUCAGCAAAUGAUCUUCUCUCCAAAAUUUUGACGGAUUUGCCCCGUGGAGGUUUUUGGGAAACAUGAAAACAUUGCAGAGAUGGGGAUCUGGACAGAAGCCACCAUCCCUCCCCUCCUGCUAAAGAAAGUCGCAAAGGGAUUGGAGACAUUUCCGUGUCAAGGGGAUGCCUCAUUCCGCACUCAGGAAAGUGGACAUCAACUGUUUCCCCACAGACACUCCUGGAGAUACUGGAAUCAUGUUAGUACAACGAGACCCCUGCCCCACAUAUACACUUUGGGCUCCACUCCUUUGUUUUCUAGAGCAGUGGCUUUCAAACUUUUAAAACCACGACCCAUCUCAACCCAUUACUCAGACGAGCGUUUACAUACAUACACUGAAACAAAAGCUUUACAACACUCUAUGUUCUUUUUUACCGUAUAUAACCUAUGCUUAUAUUUUCAUUCCAUUUCUUUUUUAAAAAAAAUUCUGGGCACAUCCACUAAAUUGAUUUCAUGACCCACUAAUGGGUCUCACCCAUAAUUGGAAAGAACACUGCCCUGGGGGAGUUGAUUCUUCACUGCUGGGUCUUCAACUCCUGACAGCUGGAAUUUGGCCCCAAUUUUCCUGAUGAGUUCCUCCCUCUACGUUGUCCCUACUAAUGUGCCAUACACCAGACCUAUAGUCCUAAACGUCACCAUCAUCAUCAGGUUAACACAUCUGUUCCGAUCCGACUUCCUCUGAUCCCCCUGGACCCUCGGGGAUCUCCAGGACAGGUACAAGGACCCUCUUACUGGCAGACUGUCUGAGAGAAAGACAACAUCCCAGGAGGCCCAUAUCCGGUGGCUGCUUGGACUUUGGGAAUACCACAAGAAUCAAAUACUUAACUGAAGCAACUUAAACAAUAAGGGGUUAAUAAAAUCACACAGCAGGAAGCCCAGAGCUAGGCGGGUUCCGGAGUUGGUUAAUUAAAUGAUCACAUGGCCUUCUGUUUAUUUCCCGGUUGCCAUCCGCCAACCUUUGGAAAUGUCUUUCUCUACCUUAGUCUCAGUGUGACAAGAGCGCUAUGUGGAGGGGCUCUGUGGGUAGCAGGAGAAGGGAAGGGUGGGGCCCACGUUUCAGCUGGCUGGGUAAGUGAGUGAGUCACUGGGUGGCUGGGCCCCUUCAGCCCCAUGUAAGGACAGGCUGCAGCCGCCCACUGCCCGCCCGUAUUGCGUCUGGACAGAAAUGGGCAUGUCUGCUUUGCAGUGGGCCCCACCUCAUGCUCGGAUAACCCUGUGAAUCAGGAAGGCCAGAGAUGCUUAUCAUCCCUUCUCUCCCCAAGAGUCACAGGCCCCAAAACGGGAAAUGACUUCUGGCCUCACCUACAGAUCCAGGCCCCGGCUGAGCAGAGAAGCCAGCGUCCUGUCUCCAGCUUGGUCCUGGAUUCCCUGGAGCUGGAAGGGCCAAUCAGGAGUGAAAGAAGCUCUCCAGUUCCGCCUUGUACUUUGGGCUUUUUCUGGGUCCCAUCUCCAGACACCCAGACCCCUCCUGCUGGUUCCUUCUGCCCACACUGCCCCGUUGUCUGCUGUUUUCCCAGGGAGAGCUGGGAGGCAGGGCUGGGGCAGGUGCAGCAGUGGUGGAGUCCCCCCCCCCACCCCACCCCCCGGUGUCUAGGUCUUUGGUAGCAUCUGAUACCCUAGACCUGGCCAUGAUGGACGUCUUGUAGCAUCUGGGACUGUGUGUGAGCUGGAAGGAACCUGGAAGCAACCUCUGUUUCAUGGAUGUGGACACUCAGGCCCAGAGACGGGUAGUGACUUGCCCAAGUCCACAUAGCUAGUUAGCAGCAGAGGGGUCUCCUGCCCUCCAAACCCACUCUGGCUGGUUCCACCCCCUACCCUGUGAACCCCGGACCAGGCCUAGGCAGCAAUGCUGCAGUGUGGCACUGCCGGCCCCAGGCUCCCUGCCAGUGGGGGAAGUGCCCUGUGUCCCCACCCCAAGCUGGUCUGCCUGUCUCCUGCUAGACAUAGCAAAAGGAUGGAGUGGGUAUCCACACCGCGGGCCCUAAGAUGAUAAAUACUAACCCUUCGGAAGGAAGUCUUCCCUUCAGCAAAGGGGAGCAGGGCUUGGCUGGCCCUGGGAAGAAUUUGCUACAGGAGCUGGUGCUAGGGAGGGUGUCUUGCUGGUGUGUAUGGGAGCUCUGCCUGUGACAGGGAGGGAGGGCCCCCUGGGGUAUGUGCUGGUGCAUGUGUGCGUGUGCAGGAAGAGGAUGGGUGGUGUAGACAUCCAGGGAGUACUGGACUAAGAGUUGGAAUACAGGGUUCUCUCUGCCUGUGUCAGCCCUGUGACCUUGGAACUUAACCUCCCAGAGCCUCAGUUUUCCCAGUUACAAAAUGGGGAUGCUAAGAAUCUCCUUCACAGGGUUGUUUAGAAAAUCCAAACUAAUAUGUGUGAGUGUCUCCCAGGAUAAAGCAGGAGGGCUGCUCUGGGGUGGGGGAGGGAGGAGGUGUGCUGUCACUGGGAGUGUCAGCAGCGCGGGGUCUGGCAAAGGGCAGGGCUGGCAGAGCGGCUCUGAGCCCCUUGCCUACGACUUCCUUCCUUGUUUCCUUGGCUGCCCAAGGCGGCACUGAAUCAGGUCACCACUUGUGUUCCCUUGCAGUAGCUGUCAUGCAAACAGCUCCUGCCCGGCUCCCAAUCCAGGUCACUGGCUCCCACACCCCCUCCCCUGCCGCCAAGGAGAAGGCCUUGCAGUGCUUUUGCCUUGAGUGCUGUUCCUUAGCCCCUGGCCGCAUGCCUGACACUGCGCCGACCGCUUUAAGGAGAAAUAACAGGCCGCCUUCGCAGCGUGCAACAGGCAGCCUGCCUCACGAGGUUCUCUCUGUCAGGGAGACACGGUCACUCCCACUUUAUAAGUGAGGAAACUGAGGCUCAGAAGAGGCAGGUGUCCUCAAUCAAGGUCACUCAGCUGUAGUGCAGAGCCAAGGUGGUGAGCUAGAUCUGUCUGAUUCCAGAGCCCGUGCUCUCAUCCCCGAGGCCCUGGGUUUAGAGGACA